GGUAGCUCAGAGGGUAAAGCAUCUGCCUGCAAUGCAGAAGACCUGGGUUCGAUUCCUGAGUC
rnacentral:tRNA from 1 species